GAUGAACGCUAGCUACAGGCUUAACACAUGCAAGUCGAACGAGUGGCGGACGGGUGAGUAACAUGUAUGCAACCUGCCCUUUAAUCGGGGAUAGCCUUUCGAAAGAAAGAUUAAUACCCGAUAUCAAGGAUGGGGAUGCGUUCGAUUAGGUUGUUGGUGAGGUAACGGCCCGCCAAGCCUUCGAUGGAUAGGGGUUGUGAGUGGAAGGUACCCCAGAUUUGAAAUACGGCACGGUCCAAAAUCGUACGGGGGGCAGGAGUGAAGAAUAUUGGGGAAGCGGCGUUAGCGCAAACCAGCCGAGUAGCGUGAAGGGUGAAUACUUAUGAGUCGUAAUCUUCUUUGGUAGAAGAAGAGGUAUUAGAUGAAGAAGCAUCGGCUAACUCCGUGCCAGCCGCCGCGGUAAUUC
rnacentral:rRNA from 1 species